CGCCUGUUUAACAAAAACAUGUCUUAUUGAAAAUAAUAUUAAGUCAAAUCUGCCCAUUGAUAAAUUUAAAAGGCUGCAGUAUAAAUAACUGUACAAAGGUAGCAUAAUAAUUAGUUUUAUAAUUGAAAUCUAGUAUGAAAGAUUAAAUGAAACAUAAACUAUAUAAAUAAAAAUAAAAAUUUAAAUUAAAUUUUAAGUUAAAAUUCUUAAAUUUAAUUAAAAGACGAGAAGACCCUUUAGAAUUUAAUAUAUAAAUUAAUUAAUCUUUAAUUUAAUAAAAUAAUAAAUAAAUUUAUAUAUUUAAUUGGGGUAAUUUUAAAAUUAAAUAAACUUUUAAACAUAAAUCCAUUAAUUAAUGUAAUAAUAAACCUAAAAUUUAGAAUUUUAAAAUAAAUUACCUUAGGGAUAACAGCGUAA
rnacentral:rRNA from 1 species